AUGGUAUAAGAGCUUUUCUUCCUCAUUGUAGUUUUUCAGCUUCAGCUUGCAGGCUCCAUCAUUAAGGUUGCAGAGCUGUUCGUGGGAAAGAAGGAAAUGAACUUCAAUAUGGUAAGCCACAUUGAUUAUCAUUAAGUCUCCCCUCCCUCGAGGAAUUGAAGAAUUGGUAAUGUCUAAUUGUCAACCUUCUCUUAUACGCACACAAUCCACACUAAUACCUCCCUCUCUCAAGUUACUCACCUCUCUUCUGAAACAAUGUUCCCAAAACCUUCUUACCUCAGCUACAUAUCACAUUUGGAGAUCUCGCAUCCUUGUAUUUUCACGGCAAAUGGGUUUGUCAGCUUCCUUGAUGGCAGCAAUCAAUGUCCCCCAAGUUCGCAAGAGAAUGUAAGCCGAAACCCCAUAUUCCAAAUGUGGACACUUAUUGAUCAAAAUCUAACUGCAACCCUAUACUCACGAUUUCACCAAUGGUCCUUCCUCAUAUUUUUCACCCUAAUACUAUGACAGAGAUUUAGGCAACCUUAGAGCGUAGAUUACAACCUAUAAACAGAUCCAGGGCGAUUCAAUUAAAAAACAAACUUCAUCACAUAUCAAUGAAGGAUCAAAAUAUGGCACUUCAAACAUCUUGUGGACGCAACACUUCACUCACCAGGGGAAGAGGACGAAAUCAGAGGAGGAUACUCGGGUGGAUCAGGAGGGGCAACUUUGAAUGCACACCAACAAGUCUAGCACAAGCCCUCAAUGCCACCUCAAGGAGUGGGUCUUAGAUUCUGGUGCCACAGCCCACUUCACUUUGGAACUCUGUCAACUUCAACAAGCUACACCAUACCAUGGAAACUGAGCAAGUUAUGGUUGGAAAUUGACAGGUGGUUCGAUUUCAGCACAAGGGCAAUGGCAUUCUUCCUACCCCCACUCACUCAACAAAUACCUUUAAAGGGUCCCAGUUCUAGAGGACUCUACUCCAUUCCAUCCUGUACUUCUCAACCACAAGCUUUUACUUUUUCUUUAUCAAACAUUAAGAAGGCUGAUCUAUGGCAUCGGUGUUUGGAACACCCCCAUUCUGACCUCAUGACGGACCUCUCCAAAUGCCACUCACUCAUCAUACCAUCGGUCCAACCUCCCGCUAUAUCUGCAAUCUUACCA